UACGGAGGGGGCUAGCGUUGUUCGGAAUUAUUGGGCGUAAAGGGCGCGUAGGCGGCUUGGCAAGUCAAAGGUGAAAUCCCUCGGCUCAACUGAGGAACUGCCUUUGAAACUGCCUGGCUUGAGGCCGGGAGGGGUAGCGGAAUUCCCAGUGUAGCGGUGAAAUGCGUAGAUAGUUGGGAGGAACACCAGUGGCGAAGGCGCUACCUGGACCGGUUCUGACGCUGAUGCGCGAAAGCGUGGGUAGCAACAGG
rnacentral:rRNA from 1 species